UACGGGGGGAGCAAGCGUUGUUCGGAUUUACUGGGCGUAAAGGGCGCGUAGGCGGCCACCGCAAGUCAAUUGUGAAAUCUCCGGGCUUAACUCGGAACGGUCAAGUGAUACUGUCGGACUAGAGUACAGAAGGGGCAACUGGGAAUUCUCGGUGUAGCGGUGAAAUGCGUAGAUAUCGAGAGGAACACCUGUGGCGAAGGCGGGUUGCUGGGCUGAUACUGACGCUGAGGUGCGAAAGCGUGGGGAGCGAACCGG
rnacentral:rRNA from 1 species